GCGAGCUGGAGGGCGGCCGUCGGGCCCCAAGGGGCGACCCUGGGGCCUGAGGAAGCUCCACCCACCACGCGGCCACCGUGGCGCCCGCGAGGGCGCGGGCCGAGAGGCCCGGCUCCGGCACAGAAACGGAACGCCCACGUGUCGCAUGACUGAUGAGGCGUGCUAAGUCGCCGAGGAGGCACGUGGGAACGGUGAAACGGCCGACCCACGGGGUGAAAGGGCAAGUAGGGCGCCCAUGAGCUGGCCGCGCGAGGCGCCGGGUAGCCCGAUGAGAAGCACGCCGCCUA
rnacentral:RNase_P_RNA from 1 species